GAUCAUGGCUCAGAGUGAACGCUGGCGGCAGGCCUAACACAUGCAAGUCGAACGGCAGCACAGGAGAGCUUGCUCUCUGGGUGGCGAGUGGCGGACGGGUGAGUAACGCGUGGGAACAUACCCUUUGGUACGGAAUAGCCUCGGGAAACUGGGAGUAAUACCGUAUGUGGUCGAGAGACGAAAGAUUUAUCGCCAAAGGAUUGGCCCGCGUUGGAUUAGGUAGUUGGUGAGGUAAAGGCUCACCAAGCCAACGAUCUGUAGCUGGUCUGAGAGGACGACCAGCCACACUGGAACUGAGACACGGUCCAGACUCCUACGGGAGGCAGCAGUGGGGAAUUUUGGACAAUGGACGCAAGUCUGAUCCAGCCAUUCCGCGUGCAGGAUGAAGGCCCUCGGGUUGUAAACUGCUUUUGUACGGAACGAAAAGGUUUCUAUUAAUACUAGGAGCUCAUGACGGUACCGUAAGAAUAAGCACCGGCUAACUACGUG
rnacentral:rRNA from 1 species